UAUACUGCAUUAAUUUUCAGCCAUGCACUCUAGUGGUUGCUUUACAGACAUUGACACUUCCAGUCGUCACACAGUAAGUCCUCAAUUAACAUCGUGAAGAGGUUCAUGGAAACUGCAACUUCAAGUUAAAGGUCUAUAAAGGAAACCAAUUUUACCAUAGGUUAAUUGAUACAAACAAGAGUUAAAUUCCUACAGCAUAUUUCUGGUCAUAAAAACAUCACUAAACUUCUAAAUAAACAGGAAAACAUUUCCGAUAUUAAACAUUGAAAUGUGAACUACAUAUAAAGAUUAAUAAAAACAGGAUAAUGAUUUAUCUGCUUAUUCCAGUUCAGGGUUGACGGUGGCUGGAGCCUCACCUGGCAGCUGAGGGUACAAGAUGGAACCGACCUGGGACAGGACCCCAUUCCGUCACAGGGCGCACACGCACACACCCACACUCACUUCUCCUGGGACAAUUUAGGCAUGCCAACUAACCUACGGUGCACAUCUUUGGGGGGUGGAGGGAAAAUGAAGUACUGGCAGAAAACCCACACAGACAUAGGGAAAAUGUGCAAACUACACAGACAGUGGCCCUAGUGUGGAAUCAAUUUUUUUCUCAUCUAUGUUAUAGUGAAACAACAUCGAACAAAAUGAUUUUGAGGACCUGCUGUAUAAAUAUUAUUCCCAUUUUACAGAUGAGGAAACUGAAACAGGUUAAGUAGUUUACCCAAGGCCAUCUAGCCAGGAAGUGACGGAGUUAAGAUAAAAACUCAAGCAGUCUGGCCCCAGAGCCUGUGUGCUUAACCCCUUAUUAAUCAAAUACAUUGACAAAACUGACAUAAGAAGUAUGGGAGAAAUCCUGAAGGAAAAGAAAUCCAUUUAAACUGAUUUAAAUUUUUUUUUUUUUUUAAAUUUUAAAGCGGUUUAUUCUGAGCUGAAUGUGUGUGCCUAGCCAGGCUCACGUGGCCUCAGGGGGUCCUGAGAAAAUUGUGACCUGUUUCCUUGGAAGGUAUUAUGGGAAAUUAAAAAAAAAGAAAAAGCUCUUAUACAUGUUUCCACUUUCUCUACUGAGCAUGUUACUUUUUUUUUGAUGACAAAAGCAAAUCUUUUAAAAUACUGUCCAAAAUGUCCAAGCAUAGAAUUCUACAUUUCUUUCAUAGGAUGCUUUUCCUACAAAUCUUAUUAUUGCCUACAGGAAUUGGAAUCCUGACUUAGAAAUUAUUCUGGGUGCAUCACCUGUAAUAUUAAUUCACUGCAGAAAUAACUAAUAGGGCUGAGCCUUGUGAAAUGCCCCAAUUAGAGCUGGAAGAGGCACCAAGAAAGGAGGUGAGAAGAGAAUCAGCAGUGUCAGAGAUCAAAUUGAAGAAUUCAAAGUGAUGGCCAAGCGCACCAAAGCAGAGAGAACGAGCUGGUAGACAGCCUUUGAGAGACUAUCGCAUGAAAUUGCCACAAACACUCCAACCUUAGCAACCACCACCCUGAUCUGUCAGCAGCUAUCAACACCAAGGCAAGACCCUCCACCAGCAAAAAGAAUUACGACUUGGUGAAGGCUCAGAUGAUGGUUAGCAUCUUUUAGCAAUGUUUUUAAAUUAAGUGGUCUGGAGCUGAACCUGCAAUAUCUCCAAGGAGAGUGAACCAAAUGAACUAUGGGGUUGGAAGUAGUGUUACACAAACUAAGAUUCCCAGGAGUACUUAGUUAAAUGAAGUUCACAGAAAAAAGUUCAUAGAAGAGCCCUGGACUUAUGUUCAACUGUUGGGCAAAAAAGCUCUGUUUUUCCUGCUGGACUUGAAGUUGCGAGGAUGGAAGCUGAGGAGAAAUGAGAUCAAGGGGAAUUCAGUUUUGAAUGAAGUGAUGGAACAAGCCACAAGGAUGAGUUCCUGGCAGAGGGAACACCCCCAGCAUGAGGAAGAAGAGGAAGAAGCCUAGUGCAGUAAAGUGAAGAGGUUAGAAAGCAUGAAUGAGUUCACAUAGAGCAGACAGAGGCCAGAUCUUGAAGGGCCUCUUGAGUCAUGAGAGGGGUUUGGAUUUUACUCUGAGAAGCUUUUGGAAGGUUUUGAGCAGAGGAGUCAUAUGAUCUGAUUCACAUUUGUAAAAGAUCACUCUGGGAUGAGACUAGGGAUGAGGGAUGGGGUGGAGGAAGAAGGGAGACAGGUUAGGAAGCUGUUGCAUUACUGAGGUAGAGAAGAUGGUGAUUUAGACUAGGAUUGUAGUUUUGGUGAAAAAAUAUUUGGCAUGGCCUGUUUGAGAGUGGAGCCAGAGCAAAAUAAAAUAGAGUCUAGGGAGUUGCUUCUGAUGACAUCAUUAGAGCCCCUGGAUUCAGCUGUGCCUGAAGCUAUUUCUCCUGUUCUUUACAGUUAAGUGAGCCAAUAAAUUCUUUUUUAUGCUUAAAGUCAGUUCGAUUUGGGAUUCUGUCACUUAGAAAUGAAAUGAGACUUGGCUUAUGUGCAUUAUCUCAUUAAUCCUCAAAACAAAUCUAUGAGGUUACUACUAUUAGCUCAAUUUUGCUGUUAAGAAAACUGAAGCUUGGCCGGGCGCGGUGGCUCACGCC